rnacentral:rRNA from 1 species
AACGAACGCUGGCGGCAUGCCUAACACAUGCAAGUCGAACGAGACCUUCGGGUCUAGUGGCGCACGGGUGCGUAACGCGUGGGAACCUGCCCUUAGGUUCGGAAUAACUCCCCGAAAGGGGUGCUAAUACCGGAUAAUGUCUUCGGACCAAAGAUUUAUCGCCUUUGGAUGGGCCCGCGUUGGAUUAGCUAGUUGGUAGGGUAAAAGCCUACCAAGGCGACGAUCCAUAGCUGGUCUGAGAGGAUGAGCAGCCACACUGGGACUGAGACACGGCCCAGACUCCUACGGGAGGCAGCAGUGGGGAAUAUUGGAAAAUGGGCGAAAGCCUGAUCCAGCUAUGCCGCGUGAGUGAUGAAGGCCUGAGGGUUGUAAAGCUCGUUUACCCGGGAUGAUAAUGACAGUACCGGGAGAAUAAGCUCCGGCUAACUCCGUG